CCCGGUCCCAAACUUGCUCAGACACAGAUUGCAGUCUUUCUUCAUCAUUUGGUUGUGGGAUACAAGUGGGAAAUAAUCAAUCCAGACGAGAAGAUAAUCUAUACAUCUCAACCAGUCCUAAAUGGUGGAGGCAAAAUUGCAAUUACUGCAAUUUAGUUCUUUAAAUAUAUGUUUUCUUGUGGAGUCUAAUAAAUAAACUGGAUAUUCAGUCUAGUAUGUUUAUUGUAACUUGUGAGCUCUUUAUGUACUUAAAUAAGACAAGUAGAUUAGAAGAAAGAAAUAUUUGUCUGUGUCCAA